CGGCCGCGGUAAUUUGACCGUGCUAAGGUAGCAUAAUCAUUUGUCUCUUAAUUGGAGACUGGAAUGAAAGGCAAAACGUGAAUCGAUCUGUCUUUUUGAUAAAGUUUGAAGUUUAUUUUUUAGUGAAAAAGCUAAAAUGAUUUUGUGGGACGAUAAGACCCCGUAGAUCUUUAUUGUAUACUUAAGUAUUAAAAAAAGUAACAAUUUUAUUGGGGCGAUAAAAAGAAAAAAAUAUCUCUUUUAAAUUUAAAUAUUUAUUUAUAAAUGAAAUUAUUGAUCCUAGGUGAUGGAUUUUAAGAAAAAGUUACCUUGGGGAUAACAGCGUUAUAUUUUUUGAGAGUUCUUAUCGAAAAAAAUGUUUGCGACCUCGAUGUU
rnacentral:rRNA from 1 species